GACGAACGCUGGCGGCGUGCUUAACACAUGCAAGUCGAACGGAAAGGCCCUGCUUUUGUGGGGUGCUCGAGUGGCGAACGGGUGAGUAACACGUGAGUAACCUGCCCUUGACUUUGGGAUAACUUCAGGAAACUGGGGCUAAUACCGGAUAGGAGCUCCUGCUGCACGGUGGGGGUUGGAAAGUUUCGGCGGUUGGGGAUGGACUCGCGGCUUAUCAGCUUGUUGGUGGGGUAGUGGCUUACCAAGGCUUUGACGGGUAGCCGGCCUGAGAGGGUGACCGGCCACAUUGGGACUGAGAUACGGCCCAGACUCCUACGGGAGGCAGCAGUGGGGAAUAUUACACAAUGGGCGGAAGCCUGAUGCAGCAACGCCGCGUGCGGGAUGACGGCCUUCGGGUUGUAAACCGCUUUCGCCUGUGACGAAGCGUGAGUGACGGUAAUGGGUAAAGAAGCACCGGCUAACUACGUG
rnacentral:rRNA from 1 species